GCUGGGUGCAGUGGCGGGUGCCUGUAAUCCCAGCUACUCGGGAGGCUGAGGCAGAAGAAUCGCUUGAACCCGGGAGGCAGAGGUUGCAGUGAGGCAAAAUCGUGACACUGCACUCCAGCCUGGGCGACAGAGGGAUUCUGUCUUUAAAAAAAAGAAAAAUUGGGGGUUGAGGGAACAAGGUCUUGCUUGCUCUGUUAUCCAGGCUGGAGUGCAGUGGUGCCAUCACAGCUCACUGCAGCCUCCACCUCCUGGGCUCAAGUGAUCCUCCUGCCUCUC
rfam:Nomascus leucogenys chromosome 20, whole genome shotgun sequence.